CAAGUGACCCCGGUCUAACCACCGGGAUGUUCAUAACCCUUUGUUGUCCGACUCUGUUGCCUCCGGGGCGACCCUGCCUUCGGGCGGGGGCUCCGGGUGGACACUUUCAAACUCUUGCGUAACUUUGCAGUCUGAGUAAACUUAAUUAAUAAAUUA
rnacentral:misc_RNA from 1 species